rnacentral:misc_RNA from 1 species
GUGCAGUUCAGAUUCUUUACCUGAAGAUGGAAGCAUAUCCACAUCCCACAACAUUGCAUAGUCAGAGAAGCUUUUCUGAAGUAAAACUGUUACCAGGUCGCUCUCCUUUUCUAUAUCCUCAACGAAGGCUUUCUUUACCAGAAACUCCCUUUCUUCCUUCUGACGAUCUCUCAGACGAGAGCUUCGAACCCCAGGCAGCAG